rnacentral:rRNA from 1 species
AUGAACGCUAGCGACAGGCUUAACACAUGCAAGUCGAGGGGCAGCACAGGUAGCAAUACCGGGUGGCGACCGGCGCACGGGUGAGUAACGCGUAUGCAACUUGCCUAUCAGAGGGGGAUAACCCGGCGAAAGUCGGACUAAUACCGCAUGAAGCAGGGGCCCCGCAUGGGGAUAUUUGCUAAAGAUUCAUCGCUGAUAGAUAGGCAUGCGUUCCAUUAGGCAGUUGGCGGGGUAACGGCCCACCAAACCGACGAUGGAUAGGGGUUCUGAGAGGAAGGUCCCCCACAUUGGUACUGAGACACGGACCAAACUCCUACGGGAGGCAGCAGUGAGGAAUAUUGGUCAAUGGCCGAGAGGCUGAACCAGCCAAGUCGCGUGAGGGAUGAAGGUUCUAUGGAUCGUAAACCUCUUUUAUAAGGGAAUAAAGUGCGGGACGUGUCCCGUUUUGUAUGUACCUUAUGAAUAAGGAUCGGCUAACUCCGUGCCAGCAGCCGCGGUAAUACGGAGGAUCCGAGCGUUAUCCGGAUUUAUUGGGUUUAAAGGGUGCGUAGGCGGCCUUUUAAGUCAGCGGUGAAAGUCUGUGGCUCAACCAUAGAAUUGCCGUUGAAACUGGGGGGCUUGAGUAUGUUUGAGGCAGGCGGAAUGCGUGGUGUAGCGGUGAAAUGCAUAGAUAUCACGCAGAACCCCGAUUGCGAAGGCAGCCUGCCAAGCCAUUACUGACGCUGAUGCACGAAAGCGUGGGGAUCAAACAGGAUUAGAUACCCUGGUAGUCCACGCAGUAAACGAUGAUCACUAGCUGUUUGCGAUACACUGUAAGCGGCACAGCGAAAGCGUUAAGUGAUCCACCUGGGGAGUACGCCGGCAACGGUGAAACUCAAAGGAAUUGACGGGGGCCCGCACAAGCGGAGGAACAUGUGGUUUAAUUCGAUGAUACGCGAGGAACCUUACCCGGGUUUGAACGCAUUCGGACCGAGGUGGAAACACCUUUUCUAGCAAUAGCCGUUUGCGAGGUGCUGCAUGGUUGUCGUCAGCUCGUGUCGUGAGAUGUUGGGUUAAGUCCCGCAACGAGCGCAACCCCUAUCUUUAGUAGCCAGCGGUUUGGCCGGGCACUCUAGAGAGACUGCCAGGGAUAACCUGGAGGAAGGCGGGGAUGACGUCAAAUCAGCACGGCCCUUACAUCCGGGGCGACACACGUGUUACAAUGGCGUGGACAAAGGGAUGCCACCUGGCGACAGGGAGCGAAUCCCCAAACCACGUCUCAGUUCGGAUCGGAGUCUGCAACCCGACUCCGUGAAGCUGGAUUCGCUAGUAAUCGCGCAUCAGCCAUGGCGCGGUGAAUACGUUCCCGGGCCUUGUACACACCGCCCGUCAAGCCAUGGGAGCCGGGGGUACCUGAAGUCCGUAACCGAAAGGAUCGGCCUAGGGUAAAACUGGUGACUGGGGCU